AAACCCUGUGUGUGUGUGUGUGUUUAAAUCUUUCUUCCCAUUCCAUUCUUUUGACUUAAUUUCACACAGUUAAUAUCUGCUCUCCUAUUUCCACUCCUCUUAAAGGCAUCCCUACCCUGUCGUUCAAGCUCCUCAGCAGCCCCCACUCUGGUCACGCAGGGUGAGACACCUCCUGAAUUUCUCUGGAACUGAUGCCCUCUUCCUCUUGCGAGUCCCUUUCUCCGUCAGCCUGGCUUGUGAGCUUUUCAUUGUUCAGAUCCCAUUUUCUCUUCUUGGGUCAGUAGUGACAGCUCCAGGCCUGUUUGCUUUUGUAGUUCUCAUGUCAUGGUCAUAGUCUUCUUACUCAAGCUGGCACAAGUGUGGCUCCUAGUCUCUUUCUGAUCCACAGCAGCUGGUUUAAAGCCUGCAUAUGAAGUUUGAUAGUGAGACUUUAGUGCGGACGGUUCCUCUGAGACCCAGUAGAUUUUCCUGGCCUGCUGAAUCGGGGUGAUCAGUCUUGAUUUCAUGUUCCAGCCUGGACUGACUGUCGUUCGUACCAGAAGUUGGAGCUUUCCACCUCCGCCACCAUAUUGAAUCAGGAGCCGACUCCUAAAGUUUCUCAGCCUGGGGUUCUGUGCACUGAUGGCGCCUGUGUGCUGCAGGCCUGCGGAUCCUCAUCCUCGGUGAUGACGCCCUUCUACCAGAGCUUGAUGGACAGGAUGGUUUGCUCCAGUGUCUCAGAAAAGUGGUCCCUACAGGCUCCAGCUGUAUGCAGAGGGCCAUUCCGGAACCCUGUUGCUGGGUGGGGUUGUGGCUUUGACUCCAGCCCUAAGGCAUACAUAAGGAGCUGGCCCCUUUGUGGGCCCCUGCUGCAAACCCCCUGCUAGGCCUUUCUUCAUUCCAAGGGCCUGUCCAGCUGGUGGUCCAGAGGCAGUCUGGUUCCUGCCUCAGCUGCUGAGCAAGCGAGAUUACAGAAGCAGAAACUAGCAGGCUGCAGCUACGACCCGAGAUAAGACGGAAACAGAAACAUCUAAGGAAGGAGUUGCUGCUCCAUCACAGACGGCCCUGCUCACGCUCUGCCCUCUGCUUCCCGCCCUUGCCUCAGCGGUUGGACAGGGAAGAACGGGGAGGAAACCUCGUUCCUCCAUACAAACGACUGGCUGAUUUGGGGGCACCAGCCGCUCCUGGGCACCUCUGCCCGCCAAUGGCGAGGACGCACUGUGUUCGGGGGUGCUGCUAUGUGCCUGGACUUCACGUGCGGAGGUGUGGCUGAGCAGCCCCAGGGGGAGGACAAAGCCCCCGGAAGAUUUACUCCAUCUCCUAGGGAAGCGACCUCUGGGGCCACACAGGGCCACCCGAGGAGCCCAGGCUGGGUCAGGAGGCAGGGCAGCAAGGCGGAGAGAGGCUAGAUCAGAGCCUUCCUUGAGGCUUUGGGGGGAAGGUGGCAGGCAGGGGCAACAGGCUAGGCUUCCCAGUUGAGUGGUUCCAGAGGGCUCUGGGCUGUCUCUAGCUGCCUGGCACCUGAGCCUGGGGUGAUUUUGUGCAGGAGAAAUCCUGACUAGGGGUGUGAGAGCCUUUGAAGGAGGCUUGGUUUGGCUGAUUGGUGCAUAAAGAAUGUACCCCGGCCUCUCAGCAUCACCAGCUGCUGUGUGUGCGCGGAGGACCCAGCUAGCUCGCAAUAAACACCUCUU